CCUACGGGAGGCAGCAGUAGGGAAUAUUGGGCAAUGGAGGCAACUCUGACCCAGCCAUGCCGCGUGCAGGAAGAAGGCGUUAUGCGUUGUAAACUGCUUUUAUAUAGGAAGAAAUAGUCCUUGCGAGGAAAGUUGACGGUACUAUAUGAAUAAGCACCGGCUAACUCCGUGCCAGCAGCCGCGGUAAUACGGAGGGUGCAAGCGUUGUCCGGAUUUAUUGGGUUUAAAGGGUGCGUAGGCGGUUUAUUAAGUCAGUGGUGAAAGACGGUCGCUCAACGAUUGCAGUGCCAUUGAUACUGGUAGACUUGAGUGGGAUUGAGGUAGCUGGAAUGGAUAGUGUAGCGGUGAAAUGCAUAGAUAUUAUCCAGAACACCAAUUGCGUAGGCAAGUUACUAAGUCUCAACUGACGCUGAGGCACGAAAGUGUGGGUAUCAAACAGGAUUAGAUACCCUGGUAGUCCACACUGUAAACGAUGAUAACUAACUGUUGGCUUUCGGGUCAGUGGUACAGAGAAAUCGUUAAGUUAUCCACCUGGGGAUACGCCGGCAACGGUGAAACUCAAAUGAAUUGAGNGNGAGAGAGCGACGACGACGACGAGGGAGGAGG
rnacentral:rRNA from 1 species